UAGGGAAUAUUGGUCAAUGGGUGAGAGCCUGAACCAGCCAUGCCGCGUGCAGGAAGACGGCCUUCUGGGUUGUAAACUGCUUUUAUCUGGGGAUAAAAAGCUCAUGCGUGAGUAAUUGAAGGUACCAGAUGAAUAAGCACCGGCUAACUACGUGCCAGCAGCCGCGGUAAUACGUAGGGUGCAAGCGUUGUCCGGAUUUAUUGGGUUUAAAGGGUGCGUAGGCGGCCUGUUAAGUCAGUGGUGAAAUCCA
rnacentral:rRNA from 1 species